UACGUAGGGGGCAAGCGUUGUCCGGAAUCAUUGGGCGUAAAGCGCGCGUAGGCGGUCCGGUAAGUCCGCUGUGAAAGUCGGGGGCUCAACCCUCGGAUGCCGGUGGAUACUGUCGGGCUUGAGUGCGGAAGAGGCGAGUGGAAUUCCUGGUGUAGCGGUGAAAUGCGCAGAUAUCAGGAGGAACACCAAUUGCGAAGGCAGCUCGCUGGGACGUUACUGACGC
rnacentral:rRNA from 1 species